GCGGUCCCGCGGAUCUGUCUCUUGCUUCAACAGUGUUUGGACGGAACAGACCCAGGGACUCCCUCUCUUCCAGCCUCCCACUGCCCUCCGAUCUCCUCUUUACUUGCAACCUCCGUGACCACCUUCUCGGCCACCUCCUGUUUCUGGGACCAGCGACCACCGUUUUUGCAGUUAGCUCCUUUUUGCCGACCAACCAUGAGCUCCCAGGUUCGCCAGAAUUAUUCCACCGAGGUUGAGGCAGCCGUCAACCGCCUGGUCAAUUUGCAUCUGCGGGCCUCUUACACCUACCUCUCUCUGGGCUUUCUAUUUCGACCGCGACGAUGUGGCUCUGGAAGGCGUGGGCCACUUCUUCCGAGAAUU